rnacentral:rRNA from 1 species
AUUGAACGCUGGCGGCAUGCCUUACACAUGCAAGUCGAACGGCAGCACAGGAAUCGCUCUCGCUGACGGUGGGCGAGGGGCGGGUGAUGGAUCGGUACAUGGGAAUCUACGGGGGCUUGGGCGGCGACGGCGGGAAUCAUACGCCAUUACCGCAGACGGUCUACGGGUGAAAGCAGAAGGCCUUGGGACCUUGCGCGAGCCAAUGACGGGAUGUCGGAUUAGCUAGUUGGCGGGGUAAAGGCGCACCAAGGCGACGAUCCGUAGCUGGUCUGAGAGGACGACCAGCCACACUGGGACUGAGACACGGUCCAGACUCCUACGGGAGGCAGCAGUGGGGAAUUUUGGACAAUGGGCGCAAGCCUGAUCCAGCCAUGCCGCGUGGGUGAAGAAGGCCUUCGGGUUGUAAACCGCUUUUGUUCGGGAAGAAAUGCUGCAGGCUAAUACCCCGGUGUUAUGACGGUACCCAAAGAAUAAGCACCGGCUAACUACGUG